UAUAAACAGGAGGAUCAGGCCACAGCUAACCUAGAAUCCAGGAGGAGGAACACUGAAUUCUAUAGUGACAUGCUUAGAAUCCAGAACACACACAGACAUGUGCUCCAAAGGCUUGGGAAGCCCUCACCUAAUGAUCUUGCAGAUGCAAUUCAUUUGUGCCAUUGUCUCCACCUGGCUUUACUUUCUACCUGCAGCUUCCCUCAGUACAUAUUCCAGGUUCCUCAUAGUGAGUGACUGGUUCCAAAUUGUUCCACCAGCAGGAGCACAGCUUCAGUAGCCAUGGAAGGCAUAGAUGUUUGAAAAUGGGGAAACAACCAUAAUAUCAGAGAUGUACAACUAACCAGAAGCCUCUCAAAAGGGUGGAUCUGUGUGUUGAUUGACCCCGAAUGCCAAGAGUGCCAGGUGAGAAGAAAGAAUCACAACUAUGUACUUAGUGGCACCAAGGUUUCCAUAUGCCAGAUAUACAUCCAUACUGAUAUGAAUAUAGAAGAGAAAGUGACCAGAUAAGGAGAGAUCUGAAGUCAGUGGUCUGAGACUGUCCUUGUUGGAGGCAAGGAUGCCAGAAGAGAGAAGUACCUGCUUUGUUAUCUCCAAAGGGAGUGCACUUGCCUAGCUAUAGUAUGUGAUGACAUGACAGGAACUCAGAGCAGGCACCUGGACACCUGGACUGACCAGCUUAUCGUCCUUAUCAUACUUCACCACAGUUGCUGCUUUAUGUCCUUUUAAGAAGCCCCCCAGAAUAUCUGGAUGCUACCCUGCUAUAAAGAACUCCUCCCACUACACUAUGUUUUCUCUCUUAUGUUCCCACCUAUAAAUCCAUAAAAUAAACUUCUCUCUAAACUCA